rnacentral:rRNA from 1 species
AGCAGCCGCGGUAAUUCCAGCUCCAAUAGCGUAUAUUAAAGUUGUUGCAGUUAAAAAGCUCGUAGUUGAACCUUAGGCCCGUGCGGGUGGUCCGUCUUAUGGGCGAGCACUGCCUUGCGCGGGUCUCACCUUCUGGCGAGCGUCGAUGCCAUUCAUUUGGUGUCGGCGGGAACCAGGACCUUUACCUUGAAAAAUUAGAGUGCUCAAAGCGGGCUCCGACGCUUGAAUACAUUAGCAUGGAAUAAUGAAAUAGGACGAUGGUUCUAUUUUGUUGGUUUCUGGGACCGUCGUAAUGAUUAAUAGGGAUAGUUGGGGGCAUUCGUAUUCAAUUGUCAGAGGUGAAAUUCUUGGAUUUAUUGAAGACGAACUACUGCGAAAGCAUUUGCCAAGGAUGUUUUCAUUAAUCAAGAACGAAAGUUGGGGGAUCGAAGACGAUCAGAUACCGUCGUA